UGAUAGAAGAUCAACUUUGACUCAAAUAACCACUCGUUACAACCGAGAUCCUGCUAUAACCCGCUCCCCACCUGUCGUGCUCCGCCGUGCUGCCUGCCUCUCGCCAACUCCGACAUAUCCACCUGCUUCGCCUGGUUUCAACUGUGGACCUUCUUCAGAUCCACCACUGCCUGUUUUCGGUUCACUCCCGGAAAACUGCUAGCACAGCCUCGGUUGUUCAUCUCCACUGAGUAUCAUCAUCUAAUAAACACUUGAACUAUU